UUUCCUGUAGCGCAAUGAAUAGCGCUUUGAACUUCUAAUCCAAACGUCGUGGGUUCGAGCCCCACCUGGGAUG